rnacentral:rRNA from 1 species
UACGUAGGGUGCGAGCGUUGUCCGGAAUUAUUGGGCGUAAAGAGCUUGUAGGCGGUUUGUCGCGUCUGCUGUGAAAAUCCGGGGCUCAACCCCGGACUUGCAGUGGGUACGGGCAGACUAGAGUGUGGUAGGGGAGACUGGAAUUCCUGGUGUAGCGGUGGAAUGCGCAGAUAUCAGGAGGAACACCGAUGGCGAAGGCAGCUCACUGGGACGGUACUGACGCUGAGGCGCGAAAGCGUGGGGAGCAAACAGG